AGCGAACGCUGGCGGCAGGCUUAACACAUGCAAGUCGAGCGGGCCUUUCGGGGUCAGCGGCGGACGGGUGAGUAACGCGUGGGAACGUGCCCUCUGGUUCGGAAUAACUCAGGGAAACUUGAGCUAAUACCGGAUACGCCCUUUUGGGGAAAGGCUUGCUGCCGGAGGAUCGGCCCGCGUCUGAUUAGCUAGUUGGUGAGGUAACGGCUCACCAAGGCGACGAUCAGUAGCUGGUCUGAGAGGAUUAUCAGCCACACUGGGACUGAGACACGGCCCAGACUCCUACGGGAGGCAGCAGUGGGGAAUAUUGGACAAUGGGCGCAAGCCUGAUCCAGCCAUGCCGCGUGAGUGAUGAAGGCCUUAGGGUUGUAAAGCUCUUUUAUCCGGGACGAUAAUGACGGUACCGGAGGAAUAAGCCCCGGCUAACUUCGU
rnacentral:rRNA from 1 species